CCGAAGCCGGCGGCGGAAGAAAAGGU
rnacentral:sRNA from 1 species